rnacentral:tRNA from 1 species
AAGGUUUUAAGUUAAACUAAAACUAAUAGCCUUCAAAGCUGAAAUUACAGUAUUCAUUUGUAAACCUUA